UACGUAGGUGACCAGCGUUGUCCGGAUUUACUGGGCGUAAAGCGUGCGCAGGCGGUUGUGCAAGACAGAUGUGAAAUCCCCGGGCUUAACCUGGGAACUGCAUUUGUGACUGCAUAGCUAGAGUACGGUAGAGGGGGAUGGAAUUCCGCGUGUAGCAGUGAAAUGCGUAGAUAUGCGGAGGAACACCGAUGGCGAAGGCAAUCCCCUGGACCUGUACUGACGCUCAUGCACGAAAGCGUGGGGAGCAAACAGG
rnacentral:rRNA from 1 species